rnacentral:rRNA from 1 species
GAUGAACGCUGGCGGCGUGCUUAACACAUGCAAGUCGAACGAAGCAUUUGCGACAGAUUUUUUCGGAAUGAAGUUGCUUAUGACUGAGUGGCGGACGGGUGAGUAACGCGUGGGUAACCUGCCUUGUACUGGGGGAUAGCAGCUGGAAACGGCUGGUAAUACCGCAUAAGCGCACAAUGUUGCAUGACAUGGUGUGAAAAACUCCGGUGGUAUAAGAUGGACCCGCGUCUGAUUAGCUAGUUGGUGAGAUAACAGCCCACCAAGGCGACGAUCAGUAGCCGAGCUGAGAGGGUGACCGGCAACAUUGGGACUGAGACACGGCCCAGAAUCCUACGGGAGGCAGCAGUGGGGAAUAUUGCACAAUGGAGGAAACUCUGAUGGAGCGACGGCGCGUGAGUGAAGAAGUAAUUCGUUAUGUAAAGCUCUAUAAGCAGGGAAGAUAGUGACGGUACCUAAAUAAGAAGCUCCGGCUAACUACGUG